rnacentral:lncRNA from 1 species
CCUGAAAACUUCAUGUCGCUCUAUCAGAGAUCAGGCAGUUCCUGGAGUCAUAACUCUUUAAAGGCUGUUUGGAUUCCAGAUCUCUACAGACCAGCCCAAGCCAGAUGCUCCUCAGACUCUGCACUGCCAUGGGCCAUGAUCUGGCUGGUCUGGCUGACAGAAGGGAGCAAGCCCACCACCCUGAGGCAGGAGGGCAGGGCCCGUGGUACAAAUGUGCUGAGCAAGUUGUGAUGAGAAAUGAACACAAGUGUAACAAACAGGAAGGAUUUUAAAGAUUUCUCUACCAUGCAGACUCUGUUAACCGUUGCCAUCAAUCAACCCAGAGAGCAGAGAUACACGGCCUUUUGUCCACAGCUGCAAUUCCCAGAAUGUGUUCCUCAGAAUCCUGAUCAUGUGUGAUGGCCCUUGAAAACUGUUCCACACUGAAAUAAAUUUUAGAAAUGCUGCGGAGUUUUUCAUUCUUCUCCUAAAGAUGAGCAGGGCAUAUUCGCUUAUGAACUGCCCUGAGAAGUCCUGUAGAAAAGAAAUAUUUCCCCAAAACUUAUUUGGUCUCGGGACACUUUUCCCUUUUGCAAGCACUUGUUAAUGUUUCACAGAACGACUGUUCCCCAGGACACUGUUGGGAAGCACUGGUAUGGGAAGAUGAUGUCAUAGCUCAUCUAGCUAUGAUGGUUUAAGAAGGUACCUUGGAAAGGGAAGUCACUCUCUACUUGGUAUGUCAUUCUCCACAGGCCUGGUCAAAUGUGGCCCAGUAGAGGGCAAGGUGCUGGGAAGUAGGAGGCUGGGAGGAUGCACUCGUAUUUUAGGAUGGGAAGAAGGACCAGGAGAGAGCUUCCUAGAGUCUUCUCUCCCAGAAGCAGCAGCCAUAAGGUCAUCUUUCUCUGUGAGG